rnacentral:misc_RNA from 1 species
GUGAAGAUUUGGGCAGGCCAUACGGACGCCAAAAAGUGUCCCUGGCCGCCUACACCCACUAUACAUCCACAAACCCGUGUGCACUGUCUUGGAGAAAGGCUUCAGAGAAGUUUUUUGUGGCCUCUCUUGGGGUCUUUCUUCGCUACAAACUCGAAUGGUUAGUAUGAACGUGGAACUUGGUUGGACCGUCACCGGCCAACAAACUAUACACAACUU